rnacentral:rRNA from 1 species
UGACUGCGUACCUUUUGUAUAAUGGGUCAGCGACUUAUAUUCUGUAGCAAGGUUAACCGCAUAGGGGAGCCGGAGGGAAACCGAGUCUUAAUUGGGCGUUAAGUUGCAGGGUAUAGACCCGAAACCCGGUGAUCUAGCCAUGGGCAGGUUGAAGGUUGGGUAACACUAACUGGAGGACCGAACCGACUAAUGUUGAAAAAUUAGCGGAUGACCUGUGGCUGGGGGUGAAAGGCCAAUCAAACCGGGAGAUAGCUGGUUCUCCCCGAAAGCUAUUUAGGUAGCGCCUCGUGAAUUCAUCUCCGGGGGUAGAGCACUGUUUCGGCCAGGGGGCCAUCCCGGCUUACCAAUCCGAUGCAAACUGCGAAUACCGGAGAAUGUUAUCACGGGAGACACACGGCGGGUGCUAACGUCCGUCGUGAAGAGGGAAACAACCCAGACCGCCAGCUAAGGUCCCAAAGUCAUGGUUAAGUGGGAAACGAUGUGGGAAGGCCCAGACAGCCAGGAUGUUGGCUUAGAAGCAGCCAUCAUUUAAAGAAAGCGUAAUAGCUCACUGGUCGAGUCGGCCUGCGCGGAAGAUGUAACGGGGCUAAACCAUGCACCGAAGCUGCGGCAGCGAACGUAUCACCCAAGACAACUUUGCACAGUGACGAUUGACGGAGCGAAGCGACGUCAAAGCGUUUUACAACGUCGAGUUGGCUUAGGGAUACGUUCGUUGGGUAGGGGAGCGUUCUGUAAGCCGUUGAAGGUGUGUCGUGAGGCAUGCUGGAGGUAUCAGAAGUGCGAAUGCUGACAUAAGUAACGAUAAAGCGGGUGAAAAGCCCGCUCGCCGGAAGACCAAGGGUUCCUGUCCAACGUUAAUCGGGGCAGGGUGAGUCGACCCCUAAGGCGAGGCCGAAAGGCGUAGUCGAUGGGAAACGGGUUAAUAUUCCCGUACUUGGUGUUACUGCGAAGGGGGGACGGAGAAGGCUAUGUUGGCCGGGCGACGGUUGUCCCGGUUUAAGCGUGUAGGUGUGUGUUCCAGGUAAAUCCGGUUCACUUUAACACUGAGGCGUGACGACGAGGCACUACGGUGCUGAAGCAACAAAUGCCCUGCUUCCAGGAAAAGCCUCUAAGCCUCAGGUAACAUCAAAUCGUACCCCAAACCGACACAGGUGGUCAGGUAGAGAAUACCAAGGCGCUUGAGAGAACUCGGGUGAAGGAACUAGGCAAAAUGGUGCCGUAACUUCGGGAGAAGGCACGCUGACACGUAGGUGAAGUGGUUUACCCAUGGAGCUGAAGUCAGUCGAAGAUACCAGCUGGCUGCAACUGUUUAUUAAAAACACAGCACUGUGCAAACACGAAAGUGGACGUAUACGGUGUGACGCCUGCCCGGUGCCGGAAGGUUAAUUGAUGGGGUCAGCGCAAGCGAAGCUCCUGAUCGAAGCCCCGGUAAACGGCGGCCGUAACUAUAACGGUCCUAAGGUAGCGAAAUUCCUUGUCGGGUAAGUUCCGACCUGCACGAAUGGCGUAAUGAUGGCCAGGCUGUCUCCACCCGGGACUCAGUGAAAUUGAACUCGCUGUGAAGAUGCAGUGUACCCGCGGCAAGACGGAAAGACCCCGUGAACCUUUACUAUAGCUUGACACUGAACACUGGUCCUUGAUGUGCAGGAUAGGUGGGAGGCUUUGAAGUGUGGACGCCAGUCUGCAUGGAGCCAUCCUUGAAAUACCACCCUUUAAUGGCUGGUGUUCUAACGUGGGCCCGUGAACCGGGUUGCGGACAGUGUCUGGUGGGUAGUUUGACUGGGGCGGUCUCCUCCUAAAGAGUAACGGAGGAGCACGAAGGUUGGCUAAUCCUGGUCGGACAUCAGGAGGUUAGUGCAAUGGCAUAAGCCAGCUUGACUGCGAGCGUGACGGCGCGAGCAGGUGCGAAAGCAGGUCAUAGUGAUCCGGUGGUUCUGAAUGGAAGGGCCAUCGCUCAACGGAUAAAAGGUACUCCGGGGAUAACAGGCUGAUACCGCCCAAGAGUUCAUAUCGACGGCGGUGUUUGGCACCUCGAUGUCGGCUCAUCACAUCCUGGGGCUGAAGUAGGUCCCAAGGGUAUGGCUGUUCGCCAUUUAAAGUGGUACGCGAGCUGGGUUUAGAACGUCGUGAGACAGUUCGGUCCCUAUCUGCCGUGGGCGCUGGAAGAUUGAGGGGGGCUGCUCCUAGUACGAGAGGACCGGAGUGGACGCAUCACUGGUGUUCGGGUUGUCAUGCCAAUGGCACUGCCCGGUAGCUACAUGCGGAAGAGAUAAGUGCUGAAAGCAUCUAAGCACGAAACUUGCCCCGAGAUGAAUCUUCCCUGAGCCUUUAAGGCUCCUGAAGGAACGUUGA